UGAGGGGAAUUGCUUAAGAUAAUCUGAAGCAUGCAUUAUACUACCAUUGAUCCGAUGCUUGAACAAAUGGUCAACCUGAAACAAAAAAUAAAAAUACCAAUGAAUACUUAUUCAAAAGUCAAAGGAGUUAUACAUAAAAGGAAACUAACCUCAAUCUUCAACUGAAAUAAGGCCUUACGUACUCUAACCCCAAACAUGAAAAUAGUAAAUAAACCAAGUUCCAUUAUUAAGAAAUAAAGUUACAAUCUACCAUGGCAAGGAGAAAAAGAGAGAGAUUUGUAGAAGCAGAACUAAGGGUGUGCACAGUUCGAUUAACCAAACAGUUACAAAUUUUCUUUAUCUGAAUCAUUGACAUCAAUUAAUCAAUUUUAUCUUUUUUUUUUUUUCAAUUUGGUUCAUCACUUACCCAAACUUUUUUGUUAAUUGGCCAAAUUUCACUUAUAUUAGUUGAUUUACAUUUUAAUCAGAACCUUUAAUAAUAGCUACUCGGGUCCCAUUUCAAAUGCCUUUUAAGAUUUUUACACAAUGAUUAAGGAAAUGAUUGGAUAACUUUAUUUAUAAUAUAUAUAUAAAUACUAUUAAUUAACUAAAGUACCCUUGUAGGACCCUUAGAGUCCAUGAAGGUGAUAAGAAAGAGAUAGAAGCAUUGGGAAUAAUAAUAGACAAGGGUAAGGUUGGAAAAAAAUAAUUAAUGCUUACUUAAUUUUUCUAAAAUGGCAAAUAAAGUG
rnacentral:misc_RNA from 1 species